AAAUUGAAGAGUUUGAUCAUGGCUCAGAUUGAACGCUGGCGGCAGGCCUAACACAUGCAAGUCGAGCGGUAGCACAGAGAGCUUGCUCUCGGGUGACGAGCGGCGGACGGGUGAGUAAUGUCUGGGAAACUGCCUGAUGGAGGGGGAUAACUACUGGAAACGGUAGCUAAUACCGCAUAACGUCGCAAGACCAAAGUGGGGGACCUUCGGGCCUCAUGCCAUCAGAUGUGCCCAGAUGGGAUUAGCUAGUAGGUGGGGUAAUGGCUCACCUAGGCGACGAUCCCUAGCUGGUCUGAGAGGAUGACCAGCCACACUGGAACUGAGACACGGUCCAGACUCCUACGGGAGGCAGCAGUGGGGAAUAUUGCACAAUGGGCGCAAGCCUGAUGCAGCCAUGCCGCGUGUGUGAAGAAGGCCUUCGGGUUGUAAAGCACUUUCAGCGGGGAGGAAGGCGAUAAGGUUAAUAACCUUGUCGAUUGACGUUACCCGCAGAAGAAGCACCGGCUAACUCCGUGCCAGCAGCCGCGGUAAUACGGAGGGUGCAAGCGUUAAUCGGAAUUACUGGGCGUAAAGCGCACGCAGGCGGUCUGCCAAGUCGGAUGUGAAAUCCCCGGGCUCAACCUGGGAACUGCAUUCGAAACUGGCAGGCUAGAGUCUUGUAGAGGGGGGUAGAAUUCCAGGUGUAGCGGUGAAAUGCGUAGAGAUCUGGAGGAAUACCGGUGGCGAAGGCGGCCCCCUGGACAAAGACUGACGCUCAGGUGCGAAAGCGUGGGGAGCAAACAGGAUUAGAUACCCUGGUAGUCCACGCCGUAAACGAUGUCGAUUUGGAGGUUGUGCCCUUGAGGCGUGGCUUCCGGAGCUAACGCGUUAAAUCGACCGCCUGGGGAGUACGGCCGCAAGGUUAAAACUCAAAUGAAUUGACGGGGGCCCGCACAAGCGGUGGAGCAUGUGGUUUAAUUCGAUGCAACGCGAAGAACCUUACCUGGUCUUGACAUCCACAGAACUUAGCAGAGAUGCUUUGGUGCCUUCGGGAACUGUGAGACAGGUGCUGCAUGGCUGUCGUCAGCUCGUGUUGUGAAAUGUUGGGUUAAGUCCCGCAACGAGCGCAACCCUUAUCCUUUGUUGCCAGCGGUUAGGCCGGGAACUCAAAGGAGACUGCCAGUGAUAAACUGGAGGAAGGUGGGGAUGACGUCAAGUCAUCAUGGCCCUUACGACCAGGGCUACACACGUGCUACAAUGGCAUAUACAAAGAGAAGCGACCUCGCGAGAGCAAGCGGACCUCAUAAAGUAUGUCGUAGUCCGGAUUGGAGUCUGCAACUCGACUCCAUGAAGUCGGAAUCGCUAGUAAUCGUAGAUCAGAAUGCUACGGUGAAUACGUUCCCGGGCCUUGUACACACCGCCCGUCACACCAUGGGAGUGGGUUGCAAAAGAAGUAGGUAGCUUAACCUUCGGGAGGGCGCUUACCACUUUGUGAUUCAUGACUGGGGUGAAGUCGUAACAAGGUAACCGUAGGGGAACCUGCGGUUGGAUCACCUCCUUACCUUAAAGAA
rnacentral:rRNA from 1 species